rnacentral:rRNA from 1 species
AGCAGCCGCGGUAAUUCCAGCUCCAAUAGCGUAUAUUAAAGUUGUUGCAGUUAAAAAGCUCGUAGUUGAAUUUCGGGGUUCAUACGUUGGUCGGGCUUUUUGGUCUGUACUGGCGUAAUGGAUUCCUACCUUCUGAAUAACCGGCAUGCCAUUAAUUUGGUGCGCCGGGGAAGCAGGACUGUUACCUUGAAAAAAUUAGGUGCUUAAAGCAGGCUAUCGCCUGAAUACAUUAGCAUGGAAUAAUGAAAUAGGACGGCAUGGUUCUAUUUUGUUGGUUUCUAGGAUCACCGUAAUGAUUAAUAGGGAUAGUUGGGGGCAUUAGUAUUCAAUUGUCAGAGGUGAAAUUCUUGGAUUUAUUGAAGACUAACUUCUGCGAAAGCAUUUGCCAAGGAUGUUUUCAUUAAUCAAGAACGAAAGUUAGGGGAUCGAAGACGAUCAGAUACCGUCGUAGUCUUAACCAUAAACUAUGCCGACUAGGGAUCGGACGAUGUUAAUUUUUU